AACUGAUACUACCUGCGGGAACCUGCGGAAGGAUCAUUACCGAGUUUACAACUCCCAAACCCCUGUGAACAUACCACUUGUUGCCUCGGCGGAUCAGCCCGCUCCCGGUAAAACGGGACGGCCCGCCAGAGGACCCCUAAACUCUGUUUCUAUAUGUAACUUCUGAGUAAAACCAUAAAUAAAUCAAAACUUUCAGCAACGGAUCUCU
rnacentral:misc_RNA from 1 species